GUGUCGGAGCUCCGCGGCGUUAGUGAAAAGUGAAAAACAAUUUGAACGCGACGGUGUGUGCCGCGGAAAACGGAAAAGUCGUUGCUGAAGUGACGGAUAAGUCGCCUUUUGCCGUUUUGCCUUUGUAUCAACCAGCAACUACCGUUUUGUACAGUUUUAAGCGCGGCAAAAAAAAAGCAAAAGCAACAACAACCAAGAGUGGAAGAAGAAGCUGAUCACACACACACGCUAAAACUGUGCAAUUAAAAAAUAUAUAUAUACACAUAACAAAAGUAUUAAAUAAUGCAAAAUUUGAUAACAAGUGUCGGCGGCAAAUGUUGUUCAAUAUGAGCAAAAAACGCAGCAGCACCAGUAGCAGCGGCAGCAACCACAA